GGUAAUGUUUUUCUUCCAGACUUUAUUUUCAUUUGGAUUUUACCUUUUCUUCUAUUGAACAAUAUACAAUGAUGUUCCUUCCUCCUUUGUCUUCUCAUAUCUGCUAGGCAAAUAUUCCUGCUGCUUACCUAAGUGCCAAUAUGGAGUGGAGUGAACAACAGGAGAUUCUUAGAGCACCGAGUUCUGAAUAUUAUAAAUACAAGCUGUUAUAUGUCACCCCUGAAAAAGUUGCCAGAGUGAGCCUGAGUUAAAUGUUGACCAGUUGGAUAGUGCACUGAAAGACAAUGUGGCAGCUGAAACUGAUGCUCC
rnacentral:lncRNA from 1 species